CCAGCACAAACCACCAGGCAGACAACAGAGGAGUUUGUCUUCCUGGGAGAGUUGACCCAGGCUGUCUACGAGCCACCGUGUUCUCGAACAUCAGCCCUCAACAGCCUCCUUUCAAUGCUAUUGUUGGCCUUUUGUGAUUUUUGUCUCUCUUUGAGCAAAAGAACCUAGAACUGAGCCAGUAACAGUGAGUGGUAAGAAGGAGGAAGGAGGCUGAGACAGUAAUGAGGAAAACCGUGCCUGCUGCAGGGUCUGGAAAUCCGUGCAAGACUGCUCCUGGGGAGCCAGUGCCUGCUGCAGGGUCUGGGAAUCCAUGCAAGACUGCUGCUGGGAAGCCCGUGCUGCUGCAGGGUUUUGGAAUCCAUGCAAGACUGCUCGGGAGCUGGUGUUGCUGCAAAGUCUGGGAAUCCAUACGAGAAAUUGUCCUAUGAUCUGAUUUGUUAUUUUUUGAAUGAGGGGAUCGAUGGAUGAGGAUUCGAAGGCCAAGAGAGUAUGAUACUGAAAUCCAAAUCCUUCCCUUCUAUCGCCUCCUGUGUGGGUACCAGCCUAGCCCCAAACCAUGAAGGAAAUGGACCUUGUGAAGCCUUCCAUACCCCCUGUGCCAGUGGCCUCAGCACCUCCAUCCUGGAAACCUGGAGCCAGCCACACGGUGCCACUGGCACAGCCCAUGUGUCCUUGAGAAUCACUUCUCACCAACGCACUCCCAGUCCAGAGAGGAGGCCAUGCUAGCCUCAGCCCUGGACUGCUGCUGGGGAAACUCCAUUGUUCCCCACUUGGUUCCUGGUUCAGUCCCUCAGCUCAGCCAAUCAUUCCCCGACUUGACCUUUGAACAGAAAUCAACUGUGAGUUUUCCGGAACAUUUUAAUAAAUUGUAACCAUUUCCUUA